UGGUGUCUGCCAGGAUGCAUCCGUGUGUUAGCAGUUUUACUUGUAUUUAUUUUUCUGUUUUUUUCUGAUUUCCCCACCGAGGAGAAACGUUUCAGAGAGGAAAUCCCGGAGGAAGUCUCGCUUAUUGGUAUCACAGGACUUUCAGCAGCUUUAUCCCAAGGCAGCCGAAAAACUUUUUGAAAACUGGGCUGUUUUCAAUGAUGGAAUUCUUACAUAUGCCCAGCGAGAGGAAAACUGCACUUAGUGCUGGAUGACAUGACACCAGAUUUACAAUGUCCAGUCUUUACUCCAGUAUCAUCGCUGUUGUAGUUGCUCAAGAUGAGAGAGUUCUGAAGGUCCUGCCAACGCUGCUUCCCACAUCCAUCUAUAAAGAGGAGGGAAAGUCUUCAGACCCACCACUGAUGAGUCCCACAGGUCAUUUAUUGACAUGCAGCCUGUUGCGACCAACAUGGUUGAGUAUUUACAAAGAGACUGAUCAACAGAUCAACCGUUCCCGGACAUUUUGUUCCUUGGGGAUGACAUGACGACGUGCCAGCCCUUUACCGGUAUUUCGGGCCACGUCAUCGAAACAGACUCUUCGCCAGUGGCUGUCGAUAUUUGUUUCAUGAUGUUUUACACCAAGCACCAAGUGACUCCCCACCCGGGGGUUUCUGUAGCAUGCAGUGUAUUGUAUACUAUGUACAUUUGUAAUUAUGCAUAAUAAGUCAUUUUGGCAGAAAAAUUGCAAAAUGUCAUUAAAUGCACAUUUGAUAAUUGUCAUUUAGACUGUUGUUUUUUGAGUGUGUGGUAUAUUUUACUAUUGAGUUUAAUCUCUUCAUAUGUUUUGUAUGUAAAAUCUUAAUUGCUGAAGUAACAAAGACUGUCAGGUAAAUGUAGUGCAAUAAAAAGUGCAUUAAUUCCC